GGAAGGUGUGCAGCUCAGCGGCAGAGCACCUGCUUGACAUGCAGAAGGUCUCAGGUUCAAUUCUGGCAUCUCCA